AUUGAACGCUGGCGGCAUGCCUUACACAUGCAAGUCGAACGGUAACAGGUCUUUCGGGAUGCUGACGAGUGGCGAACGGGUGAGUAAUACAUCGGAACGUGCCUAGUAGUGGGGGAUAACUACUCGAAAGAGUGGCUAAUACCGCAUGAGAUCUAUGGAUGAAAGCAGGGGACCUUCGGGCCUUGUGCUACUAGAGCGGCCGAUUGCAGAGUAGGUAGUUGGUGGGAUAAAAGCUUACCAAGCCUACGAUCUGUAGCUGGUCUGAGAGGACGAUCAGCCACACUGGGACUGAGACACGGCCCAGACUCCUACGGGAGGCAGCAGUGGGGAAUUUUGGACAAUGGGCGCAAGCCUGAUCCAGCAAUGCCGCGUGCAGGAUGAAGGCCUUCGGGUUGUAAACUGCUUUUGUACGGAACGAAAAGUCUUGGGUUAAUACCCUGGGAUCAUGACGGUACCGUAAGAAUAAGCACCGGCUAACUACGUGCCAGCCGCCGCAGUAA
rnacentral:rRNA from 1 species